GCUUGUCUCAAAGAUUAAGCCAUGCAUGUCUAAGUAUAAGCCUUUGUACGGCGAAACUGCGAAUGGCUCAUUAAAACAGUUAUAGUUUAUUCGAUAAUCAAUUGCUACAUGGAUAACUGUAGUAAUUCUAGAGCUAAUACAUGCACCAAAACCUGACUUUACGGAAGGGUCGUGUUUAUUAGAUACAAAACCAGCAUCUCGUUGGUGAGUCAUAAUAACCAAGCGAAUCGUCGGUUUACCGACGAUAGAUCGUUCAAGUUUCUGACCUAUCAGCUUUCGACGGUAGUGUAUUGGACUACCGUGGCUAUGACGGGUAACGGAGAAUUAGGGUUCGAUUCCGGAGAGGGAGCCUGAGAAACGGCUACCACAUCUAAGGAAGGCAGCAGG
rnacentral:rRNA from 1 species